GGGGAGAUGCCAGAGUGGACGAUUGGAGCCGCCUGCUAAGCGGUUGUGGGGCUAGAAACUCCACCCAGGGUUCGAAUCCCUGUCUCCCCG
rnacentral:tRNA from 1 species